CACCUUUGCACACCCGGGGUCGCAGUUGUACAGUCGCCAGUCACAAGGGUUGGAGUUUAUCAACAGUUUGUACAGCUGCUGACGUCACCUAGCGACUGGUCAGUGCUCAACGGCUAUUUAGGGGCCUAAAGUACACGGGCAAAAGCGCGCGACGAGGAUCGGAAUAGCGAUGAUUGCGAUGAUUGCUCCGAUGCAACCAAAAACGAUGCCGACGAUCUGGCCUGUCGUCAACGAAGCACCGGAACCGGAUGUGGAACUGGAAAACAUGGGAACGAGGCUCAUAUGAAGGCUGAGAGACUUCCGUUGAAUGAUUGUGAAAGUACUGCUCAGGACUUUUCAAUUCAAUUUUUUCAAUACAACUUUAUUCAUCCACAA